GUUGUACAGUGACGAGUGCGGUAGUGCCUCAUCUGGUAUCGUACCAGGUGUACUCUCUUUCUUUCUCGGUCUCUGUGUCCUUGGUACUCGACGGAGACCGUGAAGGGACCGGAUACGUGAAGAACUUUGGGAAAUUCUCCUUUUUUGAACCAUCAGGUGGCAAAUACGACGGUCGCGUGUAUACGACGAUCACGAUCACGGAACGGACUCAUAAUGGGAGGAAAGCGGAGGGAUUAUGACGCGAAAGGAGAAACUCGCAGAGACUCGGCUUGCGUCUUGUACACGAUUUAUAUUGAUAUUUUUAUCCUGUAAUAUUAUCCAAAAAUGAUCAGAGAAAGGAACGAUCUGCGAAGAUUUCUUAGUGAAGCAGAAAAUCAUUUUACCGCAAUACUUGUACUAUAGAAAUAAUGAGAAAAUAUUGUAUACAUAUUGUGGUACAUUAGAUUUAAAAAAUGGCCAGCGUAAAGGAUGAAUGGAUGUGUGUGAAAUAAAUUAAUGAUAAAAAAA